rnacentral:rRNA from 1 species
AGGCUUCAUGUCUUGUAAUUGGAAUGAGAACAAUUUAAAUCCCUUAUCGAGUAUCAAUUGGAGGGCAAGUCUGGUGCCAGCAGCCGCGGUAAUUCCAGCUCCAAUAGCGUAUAUUAAAGUUGUUGCAGUUAAAAAGCUCGUAGUUGGAUUUCUGGCAGGGGUGAGCGGCCACACACUAUGUGUGUGAGCUUGCUUACUCCGCCAUCCUUGAGGAGAUCCUAUUUGGCAUUAAGUUGUCGGGUAGGGGAUACUCAUCGUUUACUGUGAAAAAACUAGAGUGUUUAAAGCAGGCUUAUGCCGUUGAAUAUAUUAGCAUGGAAUAAUGAUAUAGGACCUUGGUACUAUUUUGUUGGUUUGCGCACUAAGGUAAUGAUUAAGAGGGACAGUUGGGGGUAUUUGUAUUCCAUUGUCAGAGGUGAAAUUCUUGGAUUUUUGGAAGACAAACUACUGCGAAAGCAUUUACCAAGGAUGUUUUCAUUAAUCAAGAACGAAAGUUAGGGGAUCGAAGAU